UUGUCAAGCAGCACUGGACGAUCUACUUGUGUUUGAUCUGGCUUGUUUAGGACCUGCUCUCGCUAUCAUUUUGGUUUUGGCGUCUCUGGAGAGGCGUACCAAAUUCAAGCUGGAAUUAUUUGGUGGACGUCCUGGACUGCUAAUUCCAGUCAACUUUCUGGGUCGUCUUAGUAAUAGGUACACUAUUGCUGCAACGUUUGGAGCAACAGCCAGUAAAUGUGCUACACUCUUUUUCGAUACAGUGAUCAGGAAUGCCACGUUUGAU